CAUAAAAAAACAAUAGUUUCCAAUGUUGAGUAAAGAAAUAUUUAUUUUGGUUUUUUAUAUAUAAAUUAUAUUGCAGAUCUUAAAAUACCGUAUUUCUACAACAAUCAAAACUAAUAAAAAAAUAAUGUUUUUAAUUUUUUUUUUUACUCGGUGGAAAACUAAUUCCAUUUAAGCGUGUAAUGUUUUGUUUGCGGCUAGGGAAAAAUUAAAAAAAAUCGAACAGUCAAAGUGCAGGACUCUCCGUUGCUUCCUGCUCUUUUAAAUUCUGCUAGUGGUUGACUAAUGGAUCAUUGGUUGCUGUGCCUUGUAAUGGUGAACUAUUUAUGAAGCUCACUGGAAACAGCCGUCAUACCCACCGCUGAUAAAGGCGCAUCUCCACGGAAGUUCUAAAGCAUGGUUAAUUGGAAAGGAUGCCGAAAGACAGCGGCCACAAUCAGCGCCGCCAUAUACGAACAUCACCACUCUUCACCAGCAGCAACACUUAUGCUACGUUUAGACAAGGCAAGUAAAUUGAGCAAGUCGCUUGAAUCGAACGCGAAUUGAACGUGUAAACACCUUAAUUCAAAUCACUUGAACGAAAAGAAAGUUGAACAUUUUCAACUUUUGGCAAGUCAAUUGAAUUCAACUGAGUUGUUGCAUUAUGCUACGUUUUGACAGGGCAAGUGAAUUGAACAACUCAGUUGAAUUCAAU